GGAUAGGGCAGUAAUGUUUAGUGGCUGUACGUGUUUACAACAGCCAAGAUAGGGCAUCAACCUAAGUGUCCAUCAGCAGAUGAGUGGACAAGGAAAAUGUGGUAUAUAUACACAGUAGAAUACUAUUCAGCCAUAAAAUAGAAUGAGAUUCUGUAAUUUGUAGCAACUUGGAUGAGCCUGGAGGACAGUAUGUUAAGUGAAAUAAGCCAGGCACAGAAUGACAAAUACCUCAUGAUUGCACUCAUAUGUGGUAUCUGAAAAAGAUGAUCCCAUAGAAGUAGAGAGUAGAUUAGAGGUUAGCAGAGGCUGUGGCGGGGGGAGGGAAAAAGAUGUAUAGAAAGAAAUUGGUCAAAGUUACAGUUAGAUAGGAGAAAUAAGUUUUAGUAUUCCAUUGCACAGCAUGGUGACUAUAG
rnacentral:lncRNA from 1 species